AAAACGAAAAAAAGACUUCUAAUCUUUAUAAAGUGAGUGCACUUCGUUUUU
rnacentral:tRNA from 2 species